rnacentral:rRNA from 2 species
AUUAAGACUCUCGGCAACGGAUAUCUCGGCUCUUACAUCGAUGAAGAACGUAGCGAAAUGCGAUACUUGGUGUGAAUUGCAGAAUCCCGUGAACCAUCGAGUCUUUGAACGCAAGUUGCGCCCGAGGCCUUCGGGUUGAGGGCACGCCUGCCUGGGCGUCACGC